AUUGAACGCUGGCGGCAGGCCUAACACAUGCAAGUCGAACGAGUGGCGGACGGGUGAGUAAUGUCUGGGAAACUGCCUGAUGGAGGGGGAUAACUACUGGAAACGGUAGCUAAUACCGCAUACCAUCAGAUGUGCCCAGAUGGGAUUAGCUAGUUGGGGGGGUAACGGCUCACCAAGGCGACGAUCCCUAGCUGGUCUGAGAGGAUGACCAGCCACACUGGAACUGAGACACGGUCCAGACUCAUACGGGAGGGAGAAGUGGGGAAUAUUGGACAAUGGACGAAAGCCUGAUGCAGCCAUGCCGCGUGUAUGAAGAAGGCCUUCGGGUUGUAAAGUACUUUUGGCGGGGAGGCGUUACCCGCAGAAGAAGCACCGGCUAACUCCGUGCCAGCAGCCGCGGUAAUUC
rnacentral:rRNA from 1 species